GGAAAAACGCUGGCGGCGUGCCUAAUAGAUGCGUUACGAGCGGGCGGAUGAGGAAGCUUGCUUCUCUGAUGUUAGCGGCGGACGGGUGAGUAACACGUGGGUAACCUACCUAUAAGAGUGGGAUAACUCCGGGAAACCGGGGCUAAUACCGGAUAAUAUUUUGAACCGCAUGGUUCAAUAGUGAAAGACGGUUUCGGCUGUCACUUAUAGAUGGACCCGCGCCGUAUUAGCUAGUUGGUAAGGUAACGGCUUACCAAGGCGACGAUACGUAGCCGACCUGAGAGGGUGAUCGGCCACACUGGAACUGAGACACGGUCCAGACUCCUACGGGAGGCAGCAGUAGGGAAUCUUCCGCAAUGGGCGAAAGCCUGACGGAGCAACGCCGCGUGAGUGAUGAAGGUCUUCGGAUCGUAAAACUCUGUUGUUAGGGAAGAACAAAUUUGUUAGUAACUGAACAAGUCUUGACGGUACCUAACCAGAAAGCCACGGCUAACUACGUGCCAGCAGCCGCGGUAAUACGUAGGUGGCAAGCGUUAUCCGGAAUUAUUGGGCGUAAAGCGCGCGUAGGCGGUUUCUUAAGUCUGAUGUGAAAGCCCACGGCUCAACCGUGAGGGUCAUUGGAAACUGGGAAACUUGAGUGCAAAAGAGGAGAGUGAAUUCCAUGUGUAGCGGUUGAAAUGCGCAGAGAUAUGGAGGACACCAGUGCGAGCGGCUCUCUGGUCUGUAACUGACGCUGAUGUGCGAAAGCGUGGGGAUCAACAGGAUUAGAUACCUGUAGUCCACGCCGUAACGAUGAGUGCUAAGUGUAGGGGUUUCCGCCCUAAUGCUGCAGCUACGAUAGCACUCGCUGGGAGUACGACGCAGUGAACCAAGAUUGACGACCCCCACGUGGACUGUGUUAAUCGAGCCGGAAACUUACAAUUGAAUCUUGACG
rnacentral:rRNA from 1 species